rnacentral:rRNA from 1 species
ACAGCAGCCGCCGCGGUAAUACGAAGGGUGCAAGCGUUAAUCGGAAUUACUGGGCGUAAAGCGUGCGUAGGCGGUGAGUUAAGUCUGCUGUGAAAUCCCCGGGCUCAACCUGGGAAUGGCAGUGGAUACUGGCUCGCUAGAGUGUGUCAGAGGAUGGUGGAAUUCCCGGUGUAGCGGUGAAAUGCGUAGAGAUCGGGAGGAACAUCAGUGGCGAAGGCGGCCAUCUGGGACAACGCUGACGCUGAGGCACGAAAGCGUGGGGAGCAAACAGGAUUAGAGACCCGUGUAGUCCCUGUCUCUUAUAU